rnacentral:rRNA from 1 species
UACGAAGGGGGCUAGCGUUGUUCGGAAUUACUGGGCGUAAAGGGCGCGCAGGCGGUCGUUCAAGUCGAGUGUGAAAGCCCCCGGCUCAACUGGGGAGGGUCACUCGAUACUGAUCGACUGGAAGGCAGGAGAGGGAAGCGGAAUUCCCGGUGUAGUGGUGAAAUUCGUAGAUAUUCGGGGGAACACCAGUGGCGAAGGCGGCUUACUGGACCAUUACUGACGCUGAGGUGCGAAAGCGUGGGGAGCAAACAGG